AAAUCCCAGAAUGCACGGCGCUGCAACUCUUCGCGCGCGCCUAAGAGGAGGGACCUCACGGAGGGAGUGGAGCGUGCGAGCUGAGGGCGGGGAAGCGCUGUGGUGGGCGGAGUCCUGCCACCUGCUCUUGCCACCCUUAAACUCUCUGGGUCUCGGGCAACGCUGAAAACAGGAAAACGAGACGGCGUAUUUUGCUCGCGAAAGUUCUCUGUCUUUGGUUUUACUUACCCGCCUCCGGCCCAGGGCUAACUUUCCCCACCUACCCGGGGAGGGUCAAGGUGACUCCAGAUUUUACAAUUAGAGACUCACAAACUUCCAGGGCUGGGAGGUUGCUGCCUCGCGCAGACAUGUCCCGAUCUGUUCCAAGUUCUUAGCUGCCCAGGUGUUGGAGUCGCCCUGUUGCACCGCCAAUAAUGAAUCGAGACUCUUGUGUUUAAAUGAAGGAGGAAUACGCUUUCUCUCGCGGGGACGUGAACUCGGUUAGCAGAAUGAAAAAGACCACUUGAACUAUCACACAGGAGCAUUGCGCGCCUUUCCUGAAUGUUGCGAUGGGUGCUUUAAUUGCUGUUAACUCUUAACAGUGCAGCACUAGCUAGAUACGGGGCAAACCUCAAAAAGGCACUGUUUGUAGGAACACUUUCUGAACUCGAUCCAAUUGUCCAUCAGUGUCCAGCAAGGAACUUGUGGCCCCAGCAAACUGACGGAGACGUUAGAGAAGAUAGACAAAGGAUGGAAGUUGAUAUGGGCUCCUGGAAUUUCAGGUCUGCUUAGCAAGAGCUGAAGAGAAAGUUGACCGGCCCAUAAAAGAAAAAUGAUUCAGAAAGUCCCGAGCAAGUGAAACCCGGAAACGUGCUACACUUGUGUCUGGCAGCCUCAUGCCCUGGAGCCACAAAACACAGAGCCUCCAUGCAGUAGGUGAAGAGAACUCUGAAGAGAUGUCACCUCAUUUCUCCCCAGCUCUUGCUCAGUCAAAAAGGACAUGGGAUAUCUGAAAGCAGAAGCAGGAAGACUAUUCUCAGGUGUUCUGGGGAAUGGGUGUGCUGGAUGAAGCUGGAGGCUGGAAAGAAUGGAAUGAAGACUGAAACUCCAGAGCUGGUCCCCUUUAAAAAUACAUAAAUAGGUAUUCUGAGCCAUUUGUCUACUCUGUUCAGAUCACUCAUUUGUGCCUGGUUCCACCUUCCUGCACAAAGAUGUGAGGGCUUUGUGGUAAAGACUGGAGGUGGUGAAGUGGGGGAAAGCUUAACGCAGGACAGUGACAGGUGCUGAAAGCAGGUAUGUCCCUUGCUCAAGAGCCUUAGCUCAGCGAUUCCCUUCCAAGGGUAAGGGUGCAGAGUGAAGUGAUGAGGAGUGGUGUCAAAGUAGGUGGGAGAGGGAAAGGCCAGUAUGUGCACUCACGGUUUUCAGCCUAUUCACCCUCAUUCCACAAGUCUUGAUGGAAUUGACUACGUGCCAGACCUUGUUUACAAUCAGGUCCUGGAAUUUACAGUGGCAGAUGAGACAGAUAUGGUUCCAGCCCUUCCGAAGUAGUGGGGAAGAUCAGAAAGAAGCUAACACUUAAAUAAAGUAAUUGCAAAUUAUGGUAAGUGAUGGUAGGAAUAAGAGUGGGCUAUUACAGAGAAUAAUCAGGAGGGGGGAUGGGACAGGACCAUUUAUUUUGAAUGGAAUAAUCAGAGAAGUCUUCUUUGGGAAAGAUAAUGAACAUGAAGGAUAAGGAAGCCAAGGGAGAAUUCCAGGCAGAGGGAACGGAGCGUGCGAAUGUCUUGAAGCUGAGGUCAGCUCAGGCAAACUGAAAUGGCUAAGCUGCUCUUGGUGGGGGCCCCAGACUUCCAGCCUGCACUGCUUUCUCUAGGAGUUCCCCCUGCCCCAGGCCCAGUGCCUUCAGUGCUUUGCUCCAUCCAGUCAUGCUCCUGUGAUAGCCUGAGAACCCCCUUUGCAGGAUCUACAAUUCAUCUGGGGUCUCAGCCUUCAGCUAUAGCUCUGAGCCAGAGCAGCUUCAUCAAGAAAAGGGGGACACUUAGGGACAUGGGCUCCCUUCUCUCUAUUUUAGGAUAAACAGACCUUACUAAAGCUUAGCGUUACAAAUUACUUAGGUCUUCUGGGCUCAAAUCCUGGCUCUGCCACUUGGAAGCUUUAAGUAUAACGUGUUACUUAACUGCUCUGUGCCUCAACCCCCUUAUCUGUAAACUAGGUCUUAAAAAUGUAUCUAUCUCAUAGAAUGGUUAGUAGAUUUAAUUGGUUCAGGCCGGCUAAGUGCUUAGGUCAGUACCUGGCUUAUCAACAUUCGACAAUCAUGUUAUUAUCAUUAUCAUACUUCAGCUCUUGUACCCCACUGCCACCUGGAAUGGCAGUGAAGGUGUGUGAUGCAUUCCCCAGAGGCUGGGCUCCUGGGAAUCAAGCUGUAUGUAGCCCUCUCCUAUAAUUCAAUCCAGAUCAUUUUUAUACCAGGCACUGUACUGGACACUUGGCUACAUCAUUUCCUUGAUCCUUCCAACAGUCGUAAGAAGCAGGUAUUACCCUUAUUUUACAGAUGCAGGAACUCAGGUUUAAAGAGGUUACCCAGCUUACCCAACACCACAAAGCUACUGUGGGUCCUAGGUCCACUGCUGCGAUCUGACUCAGUAGGCCUGGGUAAAUCAUUGGGAUCUGCAUUACAAAUACCUACCCCAACCUUCCCAGUUUUGAUG